rnacentral:rRNA from 1 species
UACGUAGGCAGCAAGCGUUGUUCGGAAUUACUGGGCGUAAAGAGUGUGUAGGCGGUGCUCUAAGUUUGGUGUGAAAUCUCCCGGCUCAACUGGGAGGGUGCGCCGAAAACUGGAAUGCUUGAACGUGGGAGAGGAAAGCGGAAUUCCUGGUGUAGCGGUGAAAUGCGUAGAUAUCCGGAGGAACACCUGCGGUGUAGACGGCUUUCUGGACCAUUGUUGACGCUGAGACACGAAAGCGUGGGUAGCAAACAGG